AACGUAGGUUCCGAGCGUUAUCCGGAUUUACUGGGCGUAAAGCGCGUUCAGGCGGUUGGGCAAGUCGGGCAUGAAAUCUCUGGGCUCAACCUGGAGAGGUUGUCCGAUACUGCCGAACUGGAGGGCAGUAGAGGGUGGUGGAAUUCCGGGUGUAGUGGUGAAAUGCGUAGAGAUCCGGAGGAACACCAGUGGCGAAAGCGGCCACCUGAACUGCACCUGACGCUGAAACGCGAAAGCUAGGGGAGCGAACGGG
rnacentral:rRNA from 1 species